rnacentral:rRNA from 1 species
GUAGGUGGCAAGCGUUGUCCGGAAUUAUUGGGCGUAAAGCGCGCGCAGGCGGUUCUUUAAGUCUGAUGUGAAAGCCCACGGCUCAACCGUGGAGAGUCAUUGGAAACUGGAGAACUUGAGUACAGAAGAGGAAAGCGGAAUUCCACGUGUAGCGGUGAAAUGCGUAGAGAUGUGGAGGAACACCAGUGGCGAAGGCGGCUUUCUGGUCUGUAACUGACGCUGAGGCGCGAAAGCGUGGGGAGCAGACAGGAUUAGAUACCCUGGUAGUCCACGCCGUAAACGAUGAGUGCUAAGUGUUAGGGGGUUUCCGCCCCUUAGUGCUGCAGCUAACGCAUUAAGCACUCCGCCUGGGAGUACGGCCGCAAGGCUG